rnacentral:rRNA from 1 species
CAGUCGCCACGGUAAUACGAGGGGGGCAAGCGUUGUUCGGAUUUAUUGGGCGUAAAGGGUGCGUAGGCGGUUUGGCAAGUCUUGUGUGAAAUCUUCGGGCUCAACCCGAAGCCUGCACGAGAAACUACCGGGCUUGAGUAUUGGAGAGGUGAGUGGAAUUUCCGGUGUGGCGGUGAAAUGCGUAGAUAUAGGAAGGAACACCUGUGGCGAAAGCGGCUCACUGGACAAUAACUGACGCUGAUGCACGAAAGCUAGAGGAGCAAACAGGAUUAGAUACCCCAGUAGUCCCUGUCUCUUAUAC